rnacentral:rRNA from 1 species
GACGAACGCUGGCGGCGUGCUUAACACAUGCAAGUCGAACGGAAAGCGCUCUUCGGAGUGACUCGAGUGGCGAACGGGUGAGUAACACGUGGGUGAUCUGCCCUGCGCUUUGGGAUAAGCCUGGGAAACUGGGUCUAAUACCGAAUAGGACCAUGGCAUUCAUGUGCUGUGGUGGAAAGCUUUUGCGGUGUGGGAUGGGCCCGCGGCCUAUCAGCUUGUUGGUGGGGUAAUGGCCUACCAAGGCGACGACGGGUAGCCGGCCUGAGAGGGUGGCCGGCCGCACUGGGAGUGAGAUACGGCCCAGACUCCUACGGGAGGCAGCAGUGGGGAAUAUUGCACAAUGGGCGCAAGCCUGAUGCAGCGACGCCGCGUGAGGGAUGACGGCCUUCGGGUUGUAAACCUCUUUCAGUAGGGACGAAGCGCAAGUGACGGUACCUAUAGAAGAAGGACCGGCCAACUACGUGCCAGCAGCCGCAGUAA